rnacentral:rRNA from 1 species
UACAGAGGUCUCAAGCGUUGUUCGGAUUCAUUGGGCGUAAAGGGUGCGUAGGCGGCGCGGUAAGUCGGAUGUGAAAUCUCGGAGCUUAACUUCGAAACUGCAUUCGAUACUGCCGUGCUUGAGGACUGGAGAGGAGACUGGAAUUUACGGUGUAGCGGUGAAAUGCGUAGAUAUCGUAAGGAAGACCAGUGGCGAAGGCGGGUCUCUGGACAAUUCCUGACGCUGAGGCACGAAGGUCAGGGGAGCAAACGGG